UCUCUGUCAAGAUGUGUGGUCCCACAUCAAA
rnacentral:piRNA from 1 species